rnacentral:rRNA from 1 species
GACGGAGGGUGCUAGCGUUGUUCGGAAUCACUGGGCGUAAAGGGCGCGCAGGCGGCCAAGUCAGUCGGGCGUGAAAGCCCGGGGCUCAACCCCGGAACGGCGCCCGAGACGGCUUGGCUCGAGACCGGGAGAGGAGGGUGGAAUAGCCAGUGUAGAGGUGAAAUUCGUAGAUAUUGGCUGGAACACCGGUGGCGAAAGCGGCUCUCUGGCCCGGUUCUGACGCUGAGGCGCGAAAGCGUGGGGAGCAAACAGG